GGCAUUUUUGUUCCUACCACUGCCAAAACGUAGCAGAGUUGUGCUCUCUGCAGUUAGGUGUUCCCCACGUGGAAAGGAUCUCCAAGGUGGGAAAACCCACACGGUCUGCUGCAUGUUGGCCACCUCUCCAGGACAAUGUCUCCCCCAGUGUUAAUACAAUGCAGGGCUGAUCUUCAUAACUACAACGUGCUCUUAAGGUCAGUGCAAUUAACUUGUGUUAGCUGCUAGAAAUAAUGGCCUGAGCUGCAGACUGCAUUUGGAGAAACAGAACUGUGUUUGCCUGGAGAAUAUUUUAUUUCUAACUUGCUCUUCCACUCACUGAAUGUACUGAUACUUGGUUUUUAUAAAAUAACUUGAAGUUUCUUCUUCGGUCAUUUUGUACGCAGAUCGUCAGUAGAAACAGAUCCUUCUCUACAAUACAGGGGCUGAAUUUGGCAUUUAAUUUGUAUUUAGGCCAAAUACAAAACAUGGACACACUACCCCUAAAGUUUAAUCUGUUGUUUUACAGAUAAUUUUAGGUGGAUACGCCAUCACACUCAAAUUACAGCUCAUCUUUCAUCAAGAAUUAGGUGCUAAAAGGAGCUCAGGUAAGCCAAGAUCACCAAGCUCAAAAUCAAGUUGUCAAAGCAAGAGAUCUCUUAAUCAUUGCAGUUCAAAGCUUCUCUUCAUGACUAUUACCCAAGAACCACUUUACAUUUGCAACGUAUUUAUCUCCAUAGUCUCACCAAGAGGUGAUUACUCUAACCUCUGAAGGGAGAAAACCGAGGCAUAGAGAGAUGAGAUGAUGUACUCAAAAUGGCACAGGACUUUUUAUGGCAAAGCUCAGAAAAUAGUUGAGAGAUCCUCUGCCCUCUUGGUCUUUUUUCGUGAGAUCAUCCUUCCUUUGACAUGCACACCAUUCACAGGCACCAAAAUUGUAUAAGGAGAUCACAAAGGGACCCCUGCAAGUAUUUAGCCUAAUUUUAACCCCAACAUCAACUUUUGGAACAUCCUUUUAAGAGAAAAUGCCUUGCAGCAAUGACACACCAGUGAGCUUGAUGGAAUGACACUGGCUUUACAGCAAGCUCUGAAUUGGCUCAUAAUGCCCGAAAGCAUUCGUUAAACAAGGCUCACAGAUAAAACACACAUACGACACAGUUCUUUAUAAAGAUAGGCUUUUACAAGCCAAAUGCUGAGAAGCCUCAUGAGAUUGCAAAAUAAUCCAAAGGGAAGUGCUUGGAAGCAUAUUUCUUGGGACACAGAGAACCAGUCUGGAAAAACACCAUGGAGACGAGACUCUGGGGAUCAACCCUCCCUCAGGUCCUGGUUAUGGAUCAAGCUGGUUUUUUCCAUCCGUGUUUUCUUCCAUGAAACGUAACCCCUCUGGAUCCAGUGCAAGGAGUGCCAAGGAGCAGGAGGAGAAGGGAGGUGCCACCUGUACUCAAUUCCAGUUGUUUCAUCAGUUCCUCACAGCCCACUUGCAAGCCAAGGUGACACAAAUGAGUUAAUUUCCAUGGUAUACUGAGGCUAAUUGGAAACAGCUCUCGGGCCCUGUAAAGCAUUAAGCUAGACUGCAAGUGAUAAUUGCUCACCUGCUGCAUGGGCCUGUAAGAGGCAGUGCAUUAACUAGCACAUGGGGUUUUAUCACUUCCCUGGGACUGUGGGGGCUGGACUCUUUCCAGCACCCAUAACAUUGAAAGCAAAUAGGUGGCUCAGGCAUGAGACAGAUUUAACAUGGCUUAAUGGUAUCAGCUGAGCUGUGGUAUCUGACUAUUUCCUGCAGAAGUCAUCUUAAUGCCCUUAGGUAUUGAUAUUUAUUUUUGCUUGGGAACAAUGUUUCAGAACUACGGUUGAAGGCACAAAAGAAAAUCUGAAGGAACACUAAUCUCGGUCCUGAAGUAGAAGAAAAACUGUAAAUAUGGAGCUAGGGAUUGAAGAAUGUUGAACCACUGAGGAAUGGCCAGUAUAAAUGGCAGCAUGGUUGGCAGGGAAGAAGCAUGUUAGCUCUAGUAGCUAACAUCCAGCUAUCCUUGUUCUGGUCCUUUGUACAAGGGCAGUAACAUCUGCUAUCCCUGUGUUACCCUCAGAAAAAGAGGCAAGUGGCAUGGCUUUUCAGGACGACCAAGUACCUUCAGAUCAAUGAAAAUGAUGCCAGGAAAGAAUUUGAAUAUCUACAUGUAAUAAACUGUCAAAAACACCAGGAAACCAUGCUUUUUCCAUGAGGUUCUUACUAUUUCUAUUUCUGAUCCUGGUCUUGAAACAUAAAGACAAAACCAGGCCAACUUCCAGCCUUUUUCACUGGUGCCUUGAUGCUCUGGGGCUGUGCCAAGCUCCAGAAGCUUAGAGGCAGGCAGAAAUGUAAUGCUGAGUAUAUGCCAGAGGCUUCAGGCACUAUUAGAUUAGUUUGAGCACCAGGAAAGGGGGAAAAGUUCUGUCAAAGUGAAACGGAGCAUCCUUUUCCCUGGGAUAUGUCAUAUCCUGACAGUCCCUCAAUUAAUGGUAUGUUCCCAUCAGGGAGUCACCACAGGAAUGUGGCUCCUGCAAAGGCUCAGAUACCAGUUUCUGGCUGUUGGGAGCUGAGAAGGUGCUCUUGUCUGGGCAGACUGGUGCGAAGCGGAGACUGUCUCCUAAUGACGGGGUUUAAGAGAUUCCUAAUGAAAGUAUUCCUGUAAGGAGAAAAAGAAGUGUCCUGUGGCUAUUCACAACUAGGAAAUACUUUAUGGCUUGUGAACUUCUUGGGAAUGACACAUUUUUCAGGUGGUCUGACUGUCAGAUGCCUGAUUUUGAUGGAUGAUGCUAAGCAUGGACAUAAUCACCAUCUUGGUCUCAGAAUCAGCCUGUAAGAUAUGUUAAGAUUUUCCAAAUGUUUCUCCAACAAUAAAAGGAAAUGUAAAGUUAAUCAAAUUGUCAUGAGAGAUCAGAGCCCAGCAAGGAGGGACUAAGACUGACAUUUGAAGUAGAAGCACUAAUAAAACAGACGGCUGCUUGCUGAUCCUGUCCGUGCUUGUGUUUAAUUUAAACAAGUUAACGAUGAAUGGAGUUUGCAGAGGAGGGGCAGGGGUGCUGUCGAAAUCGAUGUAUGUACCAGCCAUUUAAAGAAAGCAGAGAAGUGGUAAAUCUCUAGCUGCAUGCGAAUAUCGUGCCUCAGCAGAGAGGCUCCGUGAGCAUCUCUGUUGGCAUGUUUGGAGCAAGAGGCCAUCCUGUGGCUCCUUGCUGCCCAGAUAGAAGCUGGAUAAAGUAAAUCCCUGGUGCUUGAAUACUUUAGAUUGAUACGCUACAUUGUGCUCAGCAAAAUUAAUUCCAGCACAUCAACGCCAUCGAGACAGAUUUCAAAAACAAAGUAAGGUGAGCUCAUCCCACUUCCUAGCUUUCUAAUGACUGUUCUGCACAUGCUACAUGUGGCUCCAGCUGCCAUUUCUCUCUGAAGAUGUCCUCCUCUGUAAAUCUGCUGGAUGCAAGGAGCCUGAGCUGCUAUUUGGAGAAGACAGCUGGCACCCGUUGAACCACAGAAGGUGUCAUGGCCCUGCCUGCUGCGAGUGGUGGAUGCUCAGCACCUUGUCAGGUGUUUCUCACACUGAGCUGGAUUUGUGUGUGCCAUGGUGCUGGAAGGAAGCAGCUUUGUGCGUGGCGAACCUGUGACCCAAAGCUCUGCUCCCUUUGGGAUACCAAUCCCCAGGCAACACUUCUGCUCUCGGCUCUGUUAUCCCAGGAACCCUUUUGUCCGCAGAGGGGACAUCUCAUCCUGAACUCCAGGCUUUCAUUUCCUACAGAUCCCCUUCAGCACACCAUCAGGUGCCAAUGAAGUUCAAUCAGCGCUGCCCUCCAGGCACCGGCCCAACAGACUCAGAAGCUGCUCUGUUAUCCAUUACUCAUCCCCCAGGCCGGCCUGGGCUGUGCUGUGCCUGAGGAGGCAGAAGCGCUCCUCCCGCUCCCUGGUGCCUUUCAUUAGGUCCUAGGCAGCGGGGGGGUGAGGCCGGGCGGCCGGGGUGGCCGGGGGUUCAGCCCCAGCCCAUGGCCAAACAGAUGAAGCGGCUCGGCCCCGCUGUGCCCCGCAGCGCUCGGCUCCCUGGCCGCAAAGGCCUCCCUCCGCGGCCUGCCGGCUGACCCCUGCCCGCCCGCCUUUCU